UACGUAGGGAGCAAGCGUUGUUCGGAUUUACUGGGCGUAAAGGGCGCGUAGGCGGCAAAUUAAGUCAGCUGUGAAAUCUCCGAGCUUAACUCGGAACGGUCAGCUGAUACUGAUCUGCUAGAGCGCGGAAGGGGCAAUCGGAAUUCUUGGUGUAGCGGUGAAAUGCGUAGAUAUCGGGAGGAACACCGGUGGCGAAGGCGGUUCUCUGGGCCUUACCUGACGCUGAGGAGCGAAAGCGUGGGGAGCGAACAGG
rnacentral:rRNA from 1 species